ensembl:snoRNA
AUGGCCCUGAACCAAGGCUGGCAGUUCCUGAUGCUGUUGGUUUCAAGCAGGAGCCUAAAGAGAUGUCUUUCUAUGGUCUGUUGGCCAUUUCAGAACUUGAGCAGUGAAAUGGACAAUUCAUUAGAAAGAAGCAGCU